AUUGAACUCUGGCGGAAUGCUUUACACAUGCAAGUCGAGCGGCAGCGCGGCCUUCGGGCUGGCGGCGAGCGGCGAACGGGUGAGUAAUGCAUCGGAACAUGCCCAGUCGUGGGGGAUAACACUUCGAAAGAAGUGCUAAUACCGCAUACGUCCUGAGGGGGAAAGCGGGGGAUCGCAAGACCUCGCGCGAUUGGAGUGGCCGAUGUCAGAUUAGCUAGUUGGUGGGGUAAAGGCCUACCAAGGCGACGAUCUGUAGCUGGUCUGAGAGGAUGAUCAGCCACACUGGGACUGAGACACGGCCCAGACUCCUACGGGAGGCAGCAGUGGGGAAUUUUGGACAAUGGGGGCAACCCUGAUCCAGCCAUUCCGCGUGAGUGAAGAAGGCCUUCGGGUUGUAAAGCUCUUUCGGCAGGAACGAAACGGUGGGCUCUAACAUAGUCCGCUAAUGACGGUACCUGAAGAAGAAGCACCGGCUAACUACGUG
rnacentral:rRNA from 1 species